GGUGGAGUUCCCGAGUGAUUAAAGGGGACAGGCUGUAAACCUGUUGUCAAAAGACUUCGAAGGUUCGAAUCCUUCCUCCACCA
rnacentral:tRNA from 1 species